GGGUGUUUGGCCGAGUGGUUAUGGCGUCGUGUUUAGGUAAUCCUAGACGAAUGGGUUUCCGGUUCCGCGAUGGGUCCGCCCGCGCAGGUUCGAAUCCUGCAGCACUCA
rnacentral:tRNA from 1 species